AUUGAACGCUGGCGGCAUGCCUUACACAUGCAAGUCGAACGGUAACGCGGGGCAACCUGGCGACGAGUGGCGAACGGGUGAGUAACGCAUCGGAACGUGCCCAGUCGUGGGGGAUAGCCCGGCGAAAGCCGGAUUAAUACCGCAUACGACCUACGGGUGAAAGCGGGGGAUCGCCAGACCUCGCGCUAUUGGAGCGGCCGAUGUCAGAUUAGGUAGUUGGGGGGGUAAAGGCCUACCAAGCCGACGAUCUGUAGCUGGUCUGAGAGGACGACCAGCCACACUGGGACUGAGACACGGCCCAGACUCCUACGGGAGGCAGAAGUGGGGAAUUUUGGACAAUGGGCGCAAGCCUGAUCCAGCCACGCCGCGUGCGGGAAGAAGGCCUUUGGGUUGUAAACCGCUUUUGUCAGGGAAGAAACGCUCUGGGCUAAUACCCCGGGGUAAUGACGGUACCUGAAGAAUAAGCACCGGCUAACUACGUGCCAGCCGCCGCCGUAAUAC
rnacentral:rRNA from 1 species